CUGUUAAAUCCAAGGGUCAGGGCAUUCUCCCCUUGAGACAGUAGCCGUGCCCUCCCUUUUCCUCCACAGGAUUCAGUAGUGUGAAUUUGUCUCGUCUCAUCCAUAACACCGCAGACACUGCGGGCUGGUGUCCA